CCUUUGGUGAGGGAGGGAGUCGGCGGCGGCGGAAGGGUGACGGGUGCUCGGUCGCAGUAGGGGUCGAGGCGGGGGGUGCCGGCUGCUGAGGUGGGAGGCUCAGGUGCUACAGAAGACCUCUACCCUAACUACCUCUACCUUUCAGACUUCUCUGCGUAUCGUUUCUAUAAUCUGCGUAGUUCACACUUAAAACGUGACAACAAUCCAGGUUCUACAUAGAGUAUGCUCGAGUGUACCAACGAGUCGUGGUCCUACUCAACCUGAGUAGUCUUUAGAUGUUGAGUUUACCACUUUUCCAACAAGUACCCCAACCUGUGAGUACACUUCUCACGCCUCGAACAAAGGCCUUCGGUCGAGUAGACUUCGUCGUGUACGUUUCAGUAAGGUUUCUCCCAAAUCUAUUAUCUAUGAAUUGUCGCACUUCGUAACCUAGGGUAAUGUCUUGAGGUUUUACGUACCUCCGUGUAAAAUUAGAACCAACCUGAUCAUCGUCCAACCCUACUGGAGGACACUUCGAGGUUGUUCUAACGGAGGAAGUGCGAAUAAGUCCUCUCUAGGAAGCGGACGGGUGAACUUCUGACGGGGAAGUCGAUAUAUUCUUCUCUAGUGAACUUGGCCGUAUACGAAUGUGUACUCCCGUUCAACAAAUGUACGGGAGAUCUUCCAACACCGUUCUCCAAGUCGUAGUUCCGUUUAUAAGUUUCUGUACAAUUCCUUUACGUACUCCUUCUUGUGCUUACGUUUUACCUACUGUGAUUUUCGUUGGUUGUCCAAUAAACGGUCCUCCUCCCGACAUUUUUCCGAAAGUUCAUAGGAAGUGUCGACUUCUUUGUGCUCCUCAGUGUACGGUUUAACCUGAUACACCUUCAUCAGACGACACUCGGACCGACGAACUUCUGUAAGUGUUUACGGUUCACGGACUCCCGAGUAUUGGUCAGAACGGUAGAUAUAUGAGUCACACUAUAAACACCCCUCUUUGUGGACUCCUUCUUGUAAUUUUCCGUAGAUGCUCGAGUGGUGUUUCACGUGAGAUGACUUUCCAACUUUACGUCAAAACUACCGACACUUACGAGGAAAAGGUUAUUUAGGUUAGAUUUGUACGUAUACUUCCGUACGGUGCUGGUUCAGUCUGGAAAGCUCACAGCCCAGCGCCCCACACCGUUCUGUAAGGGGAUGUUCGUACAGUCCCUGUUAGUGCUCUUCAGCUCAACAGUACAUAUGCAUCUCCCGCUGAUACUCCUCUACCUGCUCGUCGACGCGAGCGCGGGUUCUCCCCCGGCUUUCUCCCGCCGACACUGCCAGCUCUGCGACUGAGCGUUCUCCCAGUGGUAGGGGUCGCUCCGGAGCAGCGACCUUCUACCCCGCCUCAUGUACGCGACCUACGAGAGCCUGCCCCUACCAAGCUUGGUGCGGCUCAUCCGUACACGACGACAGAGAAUCAUAGAACAACGUCAUGCAAAACCUCCAACAGUUUACAUAUCCCCAGAGAUGCCACAACGACGAGUUCAGCGUCACACCAACACACCUUUAGUGCAAACACACACACAUACCUCUCAAUACUAAAUCAUUCAUAUAUAUCAUGAUUCAUUCACUUCGUCAGCACAAUAUAUACCCAUCAUCAUCAGACCCGUAAACUCAGCAACAUUAUCGAUUAUCGGUACAACUUCGACGACUUAUGCACGUGCAUAAUUGGUUCUUCGAUUCUUUCGAACUCCUUAAACA
rnacentral:rRNA from 1 species